CAAUAGCGUAUAUUAAAGCUGUUGCGGUUAAAAAGCUCGUAGUUGGAUUUCUGUCAAGUACAACUGGUCCGCCCUCCGGGUGAGCACAUAGUUUGGUCUUGGCAUCUUGCUGGAAAUUGUUGCUGCACUUGGCUGUGUGGCGCAGUGUCCAGCACUUUCACUUUGAGGAAAUUGGAGUGUUUCAAGCAGGCAAUGCCUUUGAACACAGUAGCAUGGAAUAAUUAGAUUAGGCUUUUGCUCCAAUUUGUCGGUUUCUGGAGCUGAGGUGAGAAUUAAUGGGGAUUGUUGGGGGCAUCCGAAUUUAGCCGUCAGAGGUGAAAUUCUUGGAUCGGCUAAAGACGGACAACUGCGAAAGCGUUUGCCCAGGAUGUUUUCAUUGA
rnacentral:rRNA from 1 species